ensembl:snRNA U6 U6 spliceosomal RNA
UUGCUUUAGCAGCACAUAUACUAAAACUGGAAUGAUACAGAUAAGAUUAGCAUAAGUUCCUGUGUAAGGAUGACAUGUAAAUAAAUGAAGCUUCCAUAUUUUUU